rnacentral:rRNA from 1 species
UGCGUAGGCCGCGCGGAGGGUGGGAUGUGAAAUCCCCCGGCUCAACCGGGGAAUAGCGUCCCAAACCGCCGUGCUCGAGGGAGACAGAGGUGAGCGGAACUGAUGGUGGAGCGGUGAAAUGCGUUGAUAUCAUCAGGAACACCAGUGGCGAAAGCGGCUCACUGGGUCUUUCCUAACGCUGAGGCACGAAAGCUAGGGGGGGCAACG